UGGAUUAAAAAAGGCAAUAUUAACGUAACCAAAGUUAACGAAAAAAUAUUAUUUCUCUCCAAUUUAGUUCCUUCAGAAUUCGGUCGAAUAUGUAAAAGUUUAGAUGAAAUUAGUAAUUGGAAAGCGACAGAGUUUAGGCAGUUUUUAUUGUAUAUAGGUAUAUUUGUUCUAAAUGAUUGUAUCAGCAGUGACCAUUACUACCACUUUUUAUUAUUACAUGCAGUAAUAAGGCUGUUAUCAUGUGAAAAUUCAUAUAGAACUGAAGCUAACGUUGCCCAACAAAUCUUACAAGAAUUCGUUGAUUUGUUUGGGAAUAUAUACGGAGACCAUUUAGUUAGUUAUAACGUGCAUGGUUUACUGCAUUUAACUGACUGCACUAAGCAAUUCGGCCCUCUAGAAAACUUAUACAUAAACCGAAUAAAAUCCUUCAGCAAUUACAUUUAAGGCUUGAUGAAAGAACUAAUAAAAACAUUGAACCCAACAAAACUUUAAAAAUUAAUAUGUUUAAUGUAGAUAAUAAAAAAGAAAAAGAUUCUUAUUGUUUUAGUGAAAAACUAGGCCCUAUAAAAAUAAUAGGAAUGACAGACGAAUCUGGUUGUGUUAUAGUAUCUGCACAUUGUUUUUUAGAUGUUGAAAACUACUUUGACGAGCCUUUAGAAUCGUCAUCUGGUUUAGGUAUUUUAGUAGCGAAGAGAUUAGAUAAAAAUGUAUUUAAAAUUAAAAAAGACGACAUAGUUUACAAAUAUUUAUCUAUUCCACAUGAGGGCAAGUUUCUUCUUAUACCAAUUCUACAUCAUUUAUUUCAUAAAUUUUCAAAUUAGGUUUUUAAAGUAUUUAUGUACAUAUAUUUUUCUCGGUUAAACUAAUAAUAUUGUGUAAUAACAUUUUCUUAAAUAUUUGAAAAAAUAAUUUUCAUUCUGCCAAUUUUUAUUUCUCAAUAAGAUGGAAAAUAUAUUUGACGAUAUUGACUUGAAGGACUGUCCAACAAUGUCUUUAACUCCCGCAAAAGAGCAAUUACAUUUGAAGCGAAGAAAGUUUAACACAUCUGGUUGCUACAAUGCAGAGGCAAGCAUUUCAAAACAACCUGUGGAAGGAAACGAGGUUAUUGACAUGUUAACCACUAUUUCUAUUUGACGAUUUAACGACGAGGGUAUGCAAUUUGGAAAGUAAAAUCGAUAAGCAUGUGAAAGAAAAUUGAAAGAAUGGCGCAAAAAAAAGAUCCGUGAAUGCAAGGUCCUCAUCCGCAAAAUUCAUCAAUCGGUAUGCCGAAUGACUGGUGAAGAAGUCGACAAUGUUCAAACCGAAAUCGCUUCCACCCUCCCAUUAAAUACGCUUGCUUCAGCUUUGGAAAUGGACGAAAAAUUGAUGCGACGAAUUUGCUGCAGCAACGAAACAAUUCGUUUUGCGACUAAAAGGUACUUCAGAUAGUGCACAUGAUGUGUUGCGUAGGCAGUACACUGAUGAACUUGUUUAUUUAUGUAACUGGGACGGUAGGGGUGGGAAGCAACCUCUCUCCAAAUUCCUACUAGUUUCCAACAUCUUAUACGAUUCAUUUAUAACUUAUGGAUUGGCAACAUUCGAAAAACAAGUUCGAAAAGCCAUUGGAAUUAGCCACCAUAGACACAAACAAAGGAUUUAUAGAAAGAGAAAAACUGACGAGUGAAUCAUAAUUUAUUAUUUAACAAUAAGUUAUAUGUAUCUAUUAUAUUACUAAACAUAAUUCUUUUAAUACACUAAAUUUUAAAUUUAAAGCAAUGUGAAGUAUGAAUUGAAUUGAAAAUAACAAGUUAACAAUGAAUUAUUUAUUUAAAUUUAAAGUACAAUGCAAUUUUUGUUAAAAAUUAUCUGACAAAAAAAUUAAAUAUGAAAAAAAAAAAUCUUUUAUUUUGAGAUUCGAACAUGAGCCUCACGGAUUACCCAGCCGUGUGUUUAACCACUUGGCUAAUAUAGCAUGUAUCGACGCGCUUUCCUAAAACAGUUUUCUCCACUUGCCUUUAAUUUCAACAAAGUGUGAGAAGGGAGGAUAUAGUUUUAUUGUAGCAGAAAACGUAUGCUCCAGAAGGUGACAAAAAAUCACAUGUAUACAAAAGUUUUGGGAGGUUUUUUGAUUUGCCCUUAAGAACGUGAUAGGAAAGUGUGACAAUUAAACCGGCACGCGUUACCGGCAUGCCACUAGGUAACAUGACCGUCACUGUUCUAACAGGGUGUGUCUCAUAUAAAUGUAUCUGAGUUGCAUCCCAGCAAAACCUGCGUGACCGAAACUCCCACACAUUUACACAAUUUUUGCUUAUUA